CCCUUAGAUGUUCUGGGCCGCACGCGCGCUACACUGACUGGUGCAACAAGUGUCUGACCUUGGCUCGAGAGGCCUGGGCAAUCUUUGAACGCUGGUCGUGAUGGGGAUAGACUUUUGCAAUUUUUGGUCUUCAACGAGGAAUUCCUAGUAAACGCAAGUCAUCAACUUGCAUUGAUUACGUCCCUGCCCUUUGUACACACCGCCCGUCGCACCUACCGAUUGAAUGGUCCGGUGAAGCCUCCGGAUUGGCGCGCACCUCGGUGCCGCCGAGAAGUUGGCUAAACCUUACCAUUUAGAGGAAGGUGAAGUCGUAACA
rnacentral:rRNA from 1 species